rnacentral:sRNA from 1 species
GCUGGGCACAGUGGCCCACACCUGUGAUCCCAGGGACUCGGGAGGCUGAGGCAGGAGGAUCUCAGUUCAAAACCAGCUUCAGCCAAAGUGAGGCCCUGAGCAACUCAGAGAGAUCCUGUCUCUA